AACGGCCGUACCAUGCUGAAUAUACCGGUUCUCGUUAGAUCACCAUAAAAUCAUUGGGCGCGGUCAGUACUUGGGUGGUGACCACCUGGGAACACUGCGUGCCGUU